rnacentral:tRNA from 1 species
GCUAGGGUGGCAGAUAAGUGCGACAGAUUUAAGCUCUGGGUAUGGAGGCUUGUUCGUAAAGUG